GGACGUCAUGAUGCUUUCCAACCUACAAGCAGCAGGAUUGGCAGUGACCAGGAUAUAUUUUCCAACCUCCUGCUUCCCCCCUCCACGCCUGGUCGCACAGGGCUGACUUCAGGAGCUGUACAGGACGCUCAGAAACAGAGCAGAAGGGGAUCAAGGUGGAGAAGGAUCUCCACCGCAGCAGCACGGACAUAAAAGAUGAGCCGCCACACUGCUGUGCUGAAUUCCUGUGGUGACGAGACACCAGCUGAAUAAACCUCUACAUCCUCCUUU